AAAAUGAAACAGACCAUUCCAGAUGGUGAUCUGCUUACCCCCUAUCAAAAAGAGUUAUAAUCACUAAAUAAUAAUGGUUACUGGUACCUUUACAAUAAUGUGCAAUCCAAUGUUUAAAAUUUAUACCACUUCAGUUUGGCUUGAUCAUAUAAAUUUUCAACAGAUGUCUUAAAAUUUAAAAGCAGGCUGAUUAGUUUGGAACCAGACUUCAAGUAGCGCUAACAUUUGGUGAAUAAGACAACUUCAUAUUACAUUUUGGAUGUAUGAAAGAAAACUUGACCAUUUGAAGAUGUAUGAAUAAAGAAAUGUACUAUAGAUACUACUUUAGGAAAACCCUGUUUGUAGUCGUGAAAGAUGCCAAAUUGGCAGAGGCUCACGUUUCUUCUCUUUACACCAAACAGAGAGAGAACAUCACUGCCUGAAUUUAGCUUUGUGACUACAUGAGCAAGCCCUCUUUGUCCUGUCUGGAGACGACUGUUAAUAAUAGCACCUUGUCAUUUGGUUUGCUCUCUAUCAAUCUGAAUAGAUGUUUACAUGGACCGUGAUGACCAUUUUAUCUUUACAGUUCUGUACAAGUCCAUCUGAGUCCAGACGUGUAUCAAAUGUGUGAGGUUUAUGACCUUAUUUAGAAAUGUUUUCUUCCCUUCAUAGCAAUUUAAUUUGUAAAACACCUUUAAGGAACAAGGCCUUUUAGUUUCCUUAUGAGAUGUAUUAUGUCUCAGGCAAACUGAGAGAUAUGUUUGGGAAAUCUAUAAAGCCAUGAGAGCAUUAAUUGAACAAUUUAGAAUGAAGAAA
ensembl:processed_transcript Gm17066 predicted gene 17066